UACGUAGGCAGCGAGCGUUGUUCGGAGUUACUGGGCGUAAAGGGUGUGUAGGCGGUUUUCUAAGUUUGAUGUGAAAUCUCCCGGCUCAACCGGGAGGGUGCGCCGAAAACUGGGAGACUAGAGUGCGGGAUGGGAGAGUAGAAUUCCUGGUGUAGCGGUGAAAUGCGUAGAUAUCAGGAGGAACACCGGUGGCGAAGGCAGCCUUCUGGGCCAACACUGACGCUCAUGCACGAAAGCGUGGGGAGCAAACAGG
rnacentral:rRNA from 1 species